rnacentral:rRNA from 1 species
GACUCUCGACAAUGGAUAUCUAGGCUCUCGCAUCGAUGAAGAACGCAGCAAAAUGCGAUACGUGGUGUGAAUUGCAGAAUCCCGUGAACCAUCAAGUAUUUGAACGCAAGUUGCGCCCGGGGAAAAUCAUCCAGGGCACGUCCGCAUGGGCACUAUAUUUUCCAUCGCUUCAUGCC